rfam:Marinobacter nanhaiticus D15-8W genomic scaffold super1, whole genome shotgun sequence.
CUUCUUCCACCUGCUGGGGGCAGAUGAAGUGAAUGUGUGGGUCGAUGCCGCCGGCGGUGAGGAUCUUGCCCUCCCCAGCGAUGAUUUCGGUGCCCGGGCCGAUAACGAUCUCGACGUCCGGCUGGGUGUCCGGGUUACCGGCCUUGCCGAUGGCAGCGAUGCGGCCUUUCUGGAUACCGACGUCGGCUUUGACGACGCCCCACCAGUCGAGGAUCAGGGCGUUGGUGAUGACGGUGUCCAUGACCGCGUCGUCGCAGCGCUGGCUCUGGCCCAUGCCGUCACGGAUG